UACAGGGGGCUCGAGCGUUAGUCGGAAUCACUGGGCUUAAAGGGUGCGUAGGUGGCUCGCCAAGUGCUUUGUGAAAUCCCCGAGCUCAACUCGGGAACAGCAGGGCAAACUGGCGGGCUUGAGGCAGGUAGGGGCCGGAAGAACAGUUGGUGGAGCGGUGAGAUGCGUAGAUAUCAACUGGAAUGCCGAUGGGGAAGCCGUCCGGCUGGGCCUGUCCUGACACUGAGGCACGAAAGCGUGGGGGAGCAAACAGG
rnacentral:rRNA from 1 species